UACGUAGGGUGCAAGCGUUGUCCGGAAUUAUUGGGCGUAAAGAGCUUGUAGGCGGUUUGUCGCGUCUGCUGUGAAAUUUCGGGGCUCAACCCCGAACUUGCAGUGGGUACGGGCAGACUAGAGUGUGGUAGGGGAGACUGGAAUUCCUGGUGUAGCGGUGAAAUGCGCAGAUAUCAGGAGGAACACCGAUGGCGAAGGCAGCUCGCUGGGACGUUACUGACGCUGAGGAGCGAAAGCGUGGGGAGCGAACAGG
rnacentral:rRNA from 1 species